rnacentral:lncRNA from 1 species
GAUAUUCUCAACAUGCCAAGCAAGAAGCUUAAACAACAGCCUAGUUAUUUCAAAAUGACCAAGCCUGAACAAAAGCCAAGUUUAAUGGGCAUGUAUACAAACUCAACACACCAGCCAUGGAUAUGACCCUAGAUAUGAUAGGAAAUUCACAAAAUCAGGAAAACCCUAGGUGCACAACUAAUUUAGGCUAUAUUUUUGUUUACAAUAAACUGGAAGAAAACACUCUUUACUGGAACUUUGAAUAUAAAGCCUUGAUUAAGAGCGCUUUUUUUGCGUACAAGCAAUUGGGGAGGGUGGUUUACACAAAUAUUCAUUGGGUGACUGAAAUUUUUAAAUCUCUUCCUAUGUGAGUUGAGGUGGAAGAGACGAACUGAGCUAUGCACUAUUGCACCUUUCAUCAAUACAAUAUACUUUACACCUCGAGAGAAAAGGAAAAAUAUUUUGAACCCCGCAUGUGUCAUGUGGCUUGUAUUCUAUUUCAAGUUGGUCUCGUUUUCAAUGCAAGAGAAACUUUUUGUGAGAAAAGAAAACAAAUGUUGUUGUAAAAUAAUAUAAUGUGGAGUCCCCAAAAUGCCCCCAUGUGGAAUCCCCAAAUUGCCCCCCUCUAAUGCCUAUUAAUUGGGCUUCAUCUUCUUCAUUGGAAGAUAUCUGAAUAGAAGAGAAAAAUCAGUUUCUCCUCCUCUCUCUCUCUCUCUCUCAAUUCUCUCAACCAUUUCUUAUCAAUUUAUAACACGUUAUCAGCACGAUUUCUCUAUUUCACACUCUCAGAUUCUCUCUGUUUCUCUGUUUCUUCUUAUCUGCGAUAUGUAAGUGAAAAAUGCCGGAGCACAGAUCGGAUUUCGGAGUCCGAGGCGCGAGCCCCGACUCGGUCAUCUUCAGGGAUUAGACCAAAAUAGAAUCUGAUUAGUUUUGGCAUAAUCAUGAAUUACAAAUAAGAACAAUGAAAGACAACGACACUCGUUGUUGUCGACUGAGACAGUGAAGAAGGAAAGAGAAACCCAACCUCUAAACCCAACAACAAUCAAACUCAAAAUCUUCCCAUCAUAUUUCCUCGCGAAAUUAACAAACUUACCAGCGGAGAGAGAAAGAAGCUUGAUGAAAUUUUGCCUCAGAGAGCCCGAGAGGGUCUUCAAAGAUUUCAAGAACGGCAGAAAUAUUUAGGCGGCAGCAGCUGAGGCAGGCAUGGGAAGCGGUUGAUAUGGGCACGUGGACAGCUUUCCAGUGACGCUGCAUGAUUGUUCAGUGCAGGCACAACCUCUUCUUGCAGACCCGAUUUGCAGAUCCGCUCCUAGAGCUGCCAGCUCUUCACAUCAUCUUUGUCCACAUCAGAACCCACGAGCCUCUUGAGCUCUGACCUGACCUUGUAGAACACGUGCCUCCAGCUUCCUCUGUUGUCAGAGCCAAGAGCACAGCAAAAAGAUGGAACAAAGCAGCAGCACUACAUCAGUGUGUGCUUUUAUAAAAGAUGUAUUAUGGCUAUUGCCUCAACCAAGCAGGCUACACCUAACAAGAGAAGCAAGUCUGUAUAGAAGGAGCACUUAAUGACAUGUAAGCAUCACGGUAGCUGGAUGCAUAGAAGGAGAAUCAAGCACCGAUGAGAGUGACAGUGAGAGUAAUGCAUAUCACAAACACCGCCAGUUAGUACUCGAGACUGCUGCUCAAGUUUUCAGUGAUGCAGCCCAGGAAUAUUCCAAACUUUCAUUGGUCAAAGAAAGGUUUGAAGAAUGGAAGAAAGGUGCCAGAGAUGAUUUUUUUUAAUGUAAAUGGGAGUGCUUUGGAAUAAUUUGGUGGACUUGUGACAGCAGUGAUGAUGAUGAUGAUAAGGCCCAUGCGGAGAAACCAGCUAGUGGUGGACAGCAAUACUAGAAAGGUCCUCUGCUCCCUAUCUUUCAAAUACUUUAGUAUUAUUCUAUACUAUUUAACUUGCUUUGCAGGUGGAAAGGCAGUAACAAUUAACAAGAACAUGAUAAAUAUUAAUAUUAAUGGUAGUAUAAUAAUAUUACACUAUUUGAUCGUGGUGUUGAUAAGAACCCACAAAUAAUUGACGUUUACUUUAUCGCAAAUUUAUUUUUUUACUUAAAGUAUGAUGUGGAAUUAACCCUCAUACUUUAUGAAUUUAAUUUACUGCACAUUUACUUUUACUUAAAGUAUGAUGAGGAAUUAACCCUCAUACUUUAUGAAUUUAAUUUACUGCACAUUUACAUUUAUUUAAAAGGGUGGUGCGAGUUUAUCGUCCACGCCUUUACUUUUAUUUAAAUGUAUGGAGCAGAAUUAGUGCCCAUACAAGCAUGUUUACUUUAUCGUAAAUUUACUUUUACUUAAAGUAUGAUGAGGAAUUAACCCUCAUACUUUAUGAAUUUACUUUACUGCACAUUUAUUUUUACUUAAAGUAUGAUGAGGAAUUAACCCUCAUACUUUAUGAAUUUACUUUACCACACAUUUAAUUUUAUUUAAGAUAUGGUGCGGAAUUAACGUCCAUAUAGCAAGCAAUUUAUUUUAUCGCACAUUUACUUUUACUUAAAGUAUGAUGAGGAAUUAACCCUCAUACUUUAUGAAUUUAAUUUACCGCACAUUUACAUUUAUUUAAAGUGUGGUGCGGGUUUAUCGUCCAUACUAGUAAUUUAUUUACUAGCAAUUUAUUUUAUGGAUUAAAUGUGCUGUAUGAUGAGUUUUUACAGUAUGCAGAUCAAGACCAGAAGUUCCUUGAUCCUCAUCAUACAAUUACAUCAGGACUUGAAGAUUCUUGAUGAUGAUGUUAAUAUGAGAACUGGCAGUCUCUCAGGCACUAUAUUUGUAAACAUGUGAUUGGACUUGAGGGUCCUUGAUCCUUGACAUGUAAAUAAGGACCUGGAGUUCCUUAAUGAUGUAACAGUACCGUAUUGGUUCAUAAUGCCGUACACAUGGAUGAUAACUGUACUGGCAAAUGUACUGUACAUAUGAAUAGUGCCGUAUAAAUGAAUAGUGAUGUAUGCAUAAAUAUUUACCAUUUUGGGUAAACUAUCACCAUUCAAAAAGGGGACCUGCAGUUCCUUAAACUCAUGAAUGAGCAAUUAAAUGAGAUGCCAUAAGUUCCUCAAAAUAUGGACAAUUAUGUAAGGGCUUGAAGUCCAGAAAUAUGUACAGAAAAUUGUAAAAGUGUCCAUACCAUGAGAAUAUGUGAUUUUGGC